UACGUAGGGUGCAAGCGUUGUCCGGAAUUAUUGGGCGUAAAGAGCUCGUAGGCGGUCUGUCGCGUCGGCUGUGAAAUCCCGGAGCUCAACUCCGGGUCUGCAGUCGAUACGGGCAAACUGGAGUACUGCAGGGGAGACUGGAAUUCCUGGUGUAGCGGUGAAAUGCGCAGAUAUCAGGAGGAACACCGGUGGCGAAGGCGGGUCUCUGGGCCUGUACUGACGCUCAUGCACGAAAGCGUGGGGAGCAAACAGG
rnacentral:rRNA from 1 species